rnacentral:rRNA from 1 species
CAGCAGCCGCGGUAACACAGAGGAUGCAAGCGUUAUCCGGAAUGAUUGGGCGUAAAGUGUCUGUAGGUGGCUUUUCAAGUCCGCCGUCAAAUCCCAGGGCUCAACCCUGGACAGGUGGUGGAAACUACCAAGCUGGAGUAUGGUAGGGGCAGAGGGAAUUUCCGGUGGAGCGGUGAAAUGCAUUGAGAUCGGAAAGAACACCAACGGCGAAAGCACUCUGCUGGGCCGACAUUGACACAGAGAGACGAAAGGUAAGGGAGCAAAUGGGGUUAGAGACCCCUGUAGUCCCUGUCUCUUAUAA